UACGAGGGGGGCGAGCGUUGUUCGGAGUUACUGGGCGUAAAGGGUGUGUAGGCGGUUGUUUAAGUUUGGUGUGAAAUCUCCCGGCUCAACUGGGAGGGUGCGCCGAAUACUGAAUGACUAGAGUGUGGGAGAGGUGAGUGGAAUUCCUGGUGUAGCGGUGAAAUGCGUAGAUAUCAGGAGGAACACCGGUGGUGUAGACGGCUCACUGGACCAUAACUGACGCUGAGACACGAAAGCGUGGGUAGCAAACAGG
rnacentral:rRNA from 1 species